rnacentral:rRNA from 1 species
GGUUAAGUUAGGAAGGGCGCACGGUGGAUGCCUUGGCACUAGGAGCCGAAGAAGGACGGGACUAACACCGAUAUGCUUUGGGGAGCUGUACGUAAGCGUUGAUCCAGAGAUUUCCGAAUGGGGGAACCCACUAUCUUUAGUCGGAUAGUAUCCUUAUGUGAAUACAUAGCAUAAGGAAGGCAGACCCAGGGAACUGAAACAUCUAAGUACCUGGAGGAAGAGAAAGAAAAAUCGAUUUCCUGAGUAGCGGCGAGCGAAACGGAAAGAGCCCAAACCAAGAAGCUUGCUUCUUGGGGUUGUAGGACACUCUAUACGGAGUUACAAAAGAAGGAUGUAGAUGAAGCGGUCUGGAAAGGCCCGCCAGAGACGGUAAUAGCCCGGUAGUUGAAAUGUGCUUCUCUCCAGAGUGGAUCCUGAGUACGGCGGAACACGUGAAAUUCCGUCGGAAUCCGGGAGGACCAUCUCCCAAGGCUAAAUACUCCCUAGUGACCGAUAGUGAACCAGUACCGUGAGGGAAAGGUGAAAAGCACCCCGGGAGGGGAGUGAAAGAGUACCUGAAACCGUGUGCCUACAAGUAGUUAGAGCCCGUUAAUGGGUGAUAGCGUGCCUUUUGUAGAAUGAACCGGCGAGUUACGAUUUGUUGCAAGGUUAAGCGGAAAAAGCGGAGCCGUAGCGAAAGCGAGUCUGAAGGGCGUUUAAGUAACAGGUCGUAGACCCCGAAACCAGGUGAUCUACCCAUGUCCAGGAUGAAGGUAAGGUAAUACUUACUGGAGGUCCGAACCCACGCACGUUGAAAAGUGCGGGGAUGAGGUGUGGGUAGCGGAGAAAUUCCAAUCGAACUUGGAGAUAGCU